UCCGGGUUGACGCCAAGCUCUGCCGCUCCCGGAUUCUCAUGGACCAGGCAGAGGCGGGGGACCCAGUGUUCCCGGGCAUUCUGCAGCCAUGCACCCUUGGGGUUAAGCCGACACGUUGAGAUUCCGUGCGGCCGGGUCACGCAUCCGAACCCGACAGCUCACUCCGUAGGCGUUGAGAGGCAUA
rnacentral:sRNA from 2 species